GUGUCAGCAGCCGCGGUAAUACAGAGGGUGCGAGCGUUGUCCGGAAUCACUGGGCGUAAAGGGCGCGUAGGCGGCCUGGUAAGUAGGGGGUGAAAUCUUGCGGCUCAACUGCAAGGCUGCCUCCUAAACUGCCGGGCUGGAGCACGGUAGAGGCAGAUGGAAUUCCCGGUGUAGCGGUGGAAUGCGUAGAGAUCGGGAAGAACAUCGGUGGCGAAGGCGGUCUGCUGGGCCGUUGCUGACGCUGAGGCGCGACAGCGUGGGGAGCAAACAGGAUUAGAUACCCCAGUAGUCC
rnacentral:rRNA from 1 species